CCAACCCCCCGACCGCCCCACAAAUAAUACCAAACAAGGUACCCUACCUAACCACCACAAAUUAUAAAGCAUGUAAUUAAACGAACUUUAUUUUUUCGAUUUUUAACUUGUCAAUUCAUUAAAUGCACUUAUAAUUAAUGUUUGCACUUAAAAAUACAGAACUGAACUUAAAAAUAAAUAUUUGCACUUUGAAAAAUGAA